rnacentral:lncRNA from 1 species
AGUGAGUCAUCUGUAUUGUCUGAUAUUCUGAUAUUUAUCUACAGUAUCUCCCUCUAUUUCUCUAUCAGAUUUUCAUCUUUCUCAUACUAACUCUUAUUCUACCUGUUUCUAAAUUUCUCAGGCCCAGAUCUUCCAUUCUUGGGCAUAUUGCUGGCACAGACUGUUACAGGGAUCUGGACAAAUACUCAAGGGCACACCAAGUCCCUGGAGUUGACUGUGUUUUCCUGUUGUAAUCCACUUUACUACGCUAAUGCAGACCAGACCUUCACAUCACUCAGACAGUGCAUCAUGCAAUCCUGCACUACCAGGGGCUACAGGUGUGUGUGUGUGUGCUUAAAUGAUGUUAUAUAUAGUCUCCUUGUUAUUUUUGCUCUUUGUGUUUGUAUGCUGUAGUAGUUCACUGUAAUUCAAUAGCGUUUUCUGUUCUAAUUCAAUUACGCAUCUAUUUACAGAACACAGGCACACAUGUUACAGAGCUGUGACCUACCUCACUUCCUGAACGAUGAACUCGACAAAUACAUGAACUUGCAAACCUGAAAAAAAAAACUCACUACCG